rnacentral:rRNA from 1 species
GGUACCCACAGAAGAAGUCCCGGCAAACUCCGUGCCAGCAGCCGCGGUAAUACGGAGGGGGCAAGCGUUGUUCGGAAUUAUUGGGCGUAAAGGGCAUGUAGGCGGUUUGGUAAGUUAAAGGUGAAAUGCCAGGGCUUAACCCUGGAGCUGCUUUUAAUACUGCCAGACUUGAGUCCGGAAGAGGAUAGCGGAAUUCCUAGUGUAGAGGUGAAAUUCGUAGAUAUUAGGAGGAACACCAGUGGCGAAGGCGGCUAUCUGGUCCGGUACUGACGCUGAGGUGCGAAAGCGUGGGAGCAAACAGGAUUA